UAAAUUGUUUUCUAGGGUUCCGCGGAUAAUCCGGACAGGUCCGAGAGAAAACGCACAGUGCGCUGUGUACACGGAGGGAUAAAAGCCCGGGAGUC
rnacentral:sRNA from 1 species